AACCCUAACAAGUUCUUUAAACAUAAAGGUUUGGUCCUAGCCUUGCAGUCAAUUUUUACUUAAUUUACACAUGCAAGUAUCCGCGCCCCUGUGAAAACGCCCUUAAAUCCCCAGUAGGGAUAAGGAGCUGGUAUCAGGCACAUCUAAACUGCCCAAAACACCUAGCUAUGCCACACCCACAAGGGACUUCAGCAGUGAUUAAAAUUGAACAUCAGCGACAGCUUGAUUCAGUUAAAGUAAACAGAGCCGGCUAAUCUGGUGCCAGCCGCCGCGGUUACACCACGUGGCUCAAAUUGACUAUUACCGGCGUAAAGAGUGAUUUAAGAGCCUUAAUUAUUGGCGUCAAAUUUGUACUAAGCUGUGACACGCUUGUCCCCUAGAAGUCCUAUAAACGAAAGUUACCCCAACUAAACCAACUUGAACUCACGACAGCCAAGAGACAAACUGGGAUUAGAUACCCCACUAUGCUUGGCAGUAAACCUUAAAUUACACCCAAAUCGCCUGGGAACUACGAGCGAAGCUUAAAACCCAAAGGACUUGACGGUACCCCAAAUCCACCUAGAGGAGCCUGUCCUAUAAUCGAUAAUCCCCGCUUUACCUCACCACUUCUAGCUAAUCAGCCUGUAUACCUCCGUCGUCAGCUUACCCCGUGAGCGAAAAAUAGUGAGCUUAAUGCCACUUCACCAACACGUCAGGUCAAGGUGCAACUUAUGAAAUGGGAACAGAUGCGCUACACUCCCUACUUUAGGGCACACGAAAAACUACCAAUGAAAUCUAGUUUGAAGGCGGAUUUAGAAGUAAAAAGAAACCAGAAAGUUCUUCUUAACUCGGCACUGGGGUGCGUACACACCGCCCGUCACCCUCCUCAAAGUCUUACCAUAGUUUUUAACUUUAUUAUGACAAAACAGAAGAGGCAAGUCGUAACACGGUAAGUAUACCGGAAGGUGUGCUUGGAAC
rnacentral:ncRNA from 1 species